rnacentral:lncRNA from 1 species
GAAUUUGUACAGAAGCAACCUGCUUUCAGUCAGCAUGCAAAGAAGCACAGGAAAGCAGCAUCAGUUUGUGAGUACACCAGUGAAAACAGUACCCAUUAUUCAAAACAUCCUCGUGCCAUUAAGAAGAUGCAUCUGUUGGAAAGUCCAAGGACUUAAAAAGACCUGAAAAAGAAGGAGAGGAUGCCUUCUGGGGAAGAAGGAGACUCUCAAAAGCACAGCAGCAAGGUUCAGCUACCCAAGACUUUCAGAUCUCAGAAGGCGUCUUGAAAAAUCAUCCUGAUCUUACUUGGUUCACGACUGCAUGCAAACACCUUUAAAAAGAAGGCUUAAAGCUGCCAGCAAGAACAACGCCGAGAUUCUCUGGACCUGGAGCAAGGGAGAAGCCCCAGCGAACCAUCAAACUUGUCCUAGGAGCCAAUGGAUAUUCCUCUUCUGCUGCAGCUUUUUGUACAGCUUGGUUUCAUUCCACAAAGCUGCAAGAAAGCUCAGUAGAAAUUCUGAAACUGCCUGUGAGGGACCAGCUCAUGAUCCCAACCACCAACACUCAGGAGAAGACAGAAAAGAUGGCUUGGGGCUCUGUAGCAAUUUCCCCAGCAGGUCCUGGGAGCGUGUUCUGCAAAGUGCUAUUGAGCUAUCAUUGCCUUCUGCUUUCUCUGUGGGAUGAGGGGGACACUAAAUCCUUACAAUAAGGAGUCAAAAGUGUCCCCAGAUUGCAGCAGAAGAUGAUCAUCCUAACAAAACUACUCCAAACUGAAUGAGCCCACAGGAGAAAGCUGUAACCCUUCAGUAACCUCAUGUGAGCAACCGAUGUCAGAUUUUUUGAACAGAAGGACUUAAAUCAGCUCAAGCUGAAAGCUUAAUUCAGGGUCAAGCAACAGCCAGAAUCCCUGUUCUGUCCCUGUUCUCUCCUCCCAGACAAGUCUCUCCUUAAUAUAUGGCUCCCAAGGUAUCAAGAGCAUGAGGGAGCACACGUAACCAUCGGCUCUAGGUGUGUGGGACGAGAGGAAAAAGAGCCUCAUCCACAGACACUGCCGGAGAGCUGGCAGUGAGUCCUGUCAGGCAGAGUGAAAAUUUCAGACAUCAGCAGUUUGGUCUAAACCCACUGUUUUGCAUGUGGGUUUUACAAACCCAAGCUUGUACAACAGAUGUCACAAACAGUCCCCAGACAUGUCUGAGAGACAAUUCGCAGGCAGCUCCUGCCUUCCUACACAUUUUAUGGAUUAAAUCCAUAAUCCGAGAGUUUGAUCUGAGUCGUGUAAAUGUUUGAACUAAAUGCUUGAUUUGGACCUGGCUCCCCAUCCUGUCUUAUUUCUGCUUGGGUUUGUUGGGAAUACAAACCUUCAGACUGUGGAUGUGUCAUCUAUUUUGUUUCUGCUGACUUUGGCAUGUGAACGUAUCCUG